GUUGAGUUCUUUCGCUUAUGGCCUAGUUUGCCAGCUGUAGUAGAGUAUACUGGCAUGUAUAUUUAUGAAGGAAGUGGCUUCAAGGCGACUGCUGCACAACAAUAUGGGUCUUCUCCUUUUCUUAGUGGACUUAAAUCUUUGUCUUCCAAGCCUUUCCACAGAAUUUGUUCCCACAUCAUCCAGACAGUAGCAGGAUUUCAGCUUUGCUAUGCUGCAAAAACUUGGUUUGGGGGCUUUGUGGGUAUGAUGGUUUUUGGAGCCAGUGAAGUUAGCAGAAAUGUGGACCUUGGGGACGAGACAACCACCAUGUUGUGCAAAUUUGUUGUCCGAGCAUCUGAUGCAUCAAUCACUAAGGAGAUUGAAUCAGACUUACAGGGUUGGUUGGAUGACCUUACUGA
rnacentral:misc_RNA from 1 species